AGGCAGAGGGGGAUUUGCCAGGGUAAAGAGGAGGCUGGGAGGAAGAGGCCUGCCGAGGGAGGCUUUGUCUUUUCAGCCAGAGUUUGACAAUUAGGCUUCAUCAUGUCACGAUGCGGUGCUACUGCUGACCCCAAAACACAACGCCGGAAGUGGUGCUCACUAGAGACUGUGAGUGGCAUUGUGCACCUGCCAUCUUGCUGAGGCCUCCCAGGGGAGCUCAGAGGACACCUGGCCUCCUUCAAUCCAGGACUCACUGUUGAAGUGGAGCCGGGGCCCUCGCAGGAAAGAAUGAGCUGUGGGAGGGCCACUGGUCCACCACAGGGAGUCUGUGCUGUCCAGUGCCCACUGGAUGGCAGGAAGGGUAGGGCCUUAGAUGUGUCAGAACUGUGACGCUGAAUCCGGAGCCCCAACCUCUCCUAGCCUCCUAGAGGAGGAUGACCCAGGACCCUUGUCCUCCCAACAGCAGGCCACCAGUUCAAGGGACAAGAAGCCCCUAAGCUCCCUCCACCUUUCACAUAGGGCCCAGGUGGCCUUGGAGUACCUGCCUUUCUUCUGCACCUAUGGGUGCCUCCUGGAAGAGGAGGGGUUGGUCCUGCAGCCCAAGACACCGCUCCAGGAGGACUCAGAACUGCUCAGUGGGUUCUUCCCUUACUACCGCUCUGAGGAGGAGAGUUUGCCCAGCCUGGCCCUUCCUGGCUGGUCACACAGGGGCUCCCAAGAUCUGCCCACUGAGAAGGAGGCACGGGCUGGCUGCUUCUGCAGGACAACAGUCAGGGACGAAUGCUCUCCUGACCCAAGCUCAGACAGAGGAAGCAGGAGCCACCUGAACAACUGAAGGGUGCAGACACCCAGAAGCUGGUUUUGUAAAUAAAUCGUGCACCUUGGCGCUGGUGCACUAAUUGGA
rnacentral:lncRNA from 1 species